GUCCGUGAGCGGCUUGGAUCCUCGCCCGUUCCCUCCUGGUCGUUUCCGCAGUAACCUCUUAUCAGAGCGGGCAGCUGUGAGUGGCGCUCACAUCCGCCGCUGCCCUGUCGAAUGGGGGAAAGAGUUCUUGUGUUCUGAGGAGGGUUUGGCUAUGGUCCUUGACCCUAUUCUUGUCUCAGACUUGCCUCCCAGGUAUCGAGGUCUCCCUGUGGGUUUCAUAUGGCUUGGUCCUUUAGGAGCUGGAAAAAUUAGGCAUAAAGUCCCCCCACCCCCUUGACAGAACGCCCCUUCUGACUCCAGAGGUCCUUUAUCGAGUGCCAGGCAUUGGUCUAGGGGCAUUUGAAAAAGAUUCACUGAAGGACAUUUUUAAGAGUUCGCUUUCUCAGAGGGCAGCUUCUCAAACUCAUUCGCUGGUUUCUUUUCCUCUUUCCGCCUGUUUAAGGAAUAUAGGAGGAUUGUAUGCCCUGGCCUCCCUGUGAUGGGGUUGAACUACAUGACAUGUUCUCCGAAUUAAGUGUGAGCAUAGCAUUUAAUUGUUGAUGCAAGACCUUCCAGAACUCUUUUUCUCUUUGCCAUGGCAAUCAUCAGUGUUCCAGAGAGCAUAUGCACGAUCAGCCUUGGUAUUGGAGGGAAGAUGAUGCGGAACAGAGUCCCAGUCACAUCAUGAAGGACAUGUAAAGUGAGAAGUAAACCUUGGUUGUUUUAAGCCAUUGAGAUUUGAGUUUUGUUACCAGAGCAGAUCUUUGUCAUCCUGGAUAAUGUGCCUGAGAAGAAGAGGUUUAAGGAAGAAAACUUGUGAACACCAAUGUGCUUGUUAGACUCCUUUGCUUGUAAGAAAGAGAAACUCAAGAGACUAAUGAAAAGAAGGAACAAGUGUUUAUAUGGGUAUAUGAGUAGCUAUUAGGAGCCCAGGCAUAAGCUACUCUCUUAUUUCUUUCUCAUUGUGUCUCUGCUCUUCUCUACCUCUUUAAUCUAUUCUCACACUACCAACUGGCUAAUUAAUCCACUUCUUAUCCUUUAGUCUGCAUUUCAGAAGAAUAUAAGCCAGUUCCAGAGCUCUUAGCUCUAAGUAGCUUCAUGGGCUGCCAGCCAACCUGGAAAUGAGCUACUCUUGGGUCAGGUGCCCAUCCUGCUCUAAACAGUGUCACUCCUACCUGAAACAUCAUUUAGCUUUCCUGGGCAUGGGACCUCUGGUACAGCAAUGCAAGCAGUAGUGGGAUAUUUCUAUUCUCGUCCCACUACAAUUUAUUUUUCACAGAAUUGUGAAAAUUAUGUUUUACAAUUGGACAUCAGAUGUGUCUUAAUCCAUAUCUACCAGCCCACUACAACCAGCCUAAAACUCUUAUAUUGCGUUAGGGAAAGACCCAACUCUCUGCCUGGCCUACAAAGCCCUUUAUGAUCUAGCCUCUGCCUGACAUUCCUACCUCACCUCCUGCCACCCUCCCUCUCACACGUUCCAGCCACCCAGGCCUCCUGUGUCUCCCUUGGAUGAGUCAAGCUGGUUUCCUCCUCAGGACAUUUGCAUUCUGCCCUUGCCAAUCUUUCUUGUUUGAACACUCUGCCCUUGGCUCUGAGAAAGCCUGGUUUCUUCAUUCUUAUUCGUUUUAAGCUCUCCUGUCAUCUCCUCAGAGAUGACUUCCCUGAUUACCCUCAUCUAAAGGACUGCCCUCUCUACAUCGGGUUACUGGUACCCCUUAUUUUCUUCAUAGCACUUAUCAUCACCUGAAAUUGCCUUGUUUAUUCCUUUACUUUCUGUCUUCCAUAAGCAGAAUGAAAUACCAUGAGAGUGAGUAUCUUUCCUGUCUUGUGAACCCCUGUACUCUGAUUCCCUAGAAUAGUCCCUGUCACACUAAAUAUUUUUUAAGUGAAGGAAAGGGAUGGUGGGCAGUGUGCUCAUGUGCUGGUUGUUCUCUGGUGUCGUCUAUCCAGGUUCAGUGUCUACCCUUCGCUGGCUUGCUGUGUGUCUCAGGAGGUUGACCUCUAGAGACGGUGUCACUCAGCCUCCACUGGGCUCUGGAUUUCCAGUUAGGCUUGACCAGUGAGAGGCACCAGCAGAAUAUUGGAGGGUAGUACAGGUGAGAAGUGGUCAGGGUAUUUAUCUCUUCCCGGUUGAGUUUCACUAUGGUUUUGGCAGUGGUUGAAUUUUGUGAACAAAGUUCUUAUUUACCAAGUUUCCAACUCUUUCCCAGCUCUAGUAAUGAUUUUCUGAUGCUUUGUCAUCCUUUUUAAUACUUCCUUGAUUAGACGCUAUUUACAGUUGCUUUUGUUGCCUGCAGGAACUCUCACUGACACAGCAGGGGCAGGUCAGAGGCUGACAAGCUCAGUACAGCUAACACUUGAGUUCAUAUAACUCACCCAUAGCCACACAGAGAAAGUGGUGGAAGCAGAUUUCAAAUUUAAACUCAGGGAGUGUGAGGAGAUCUGCAGAAACUGUUAUAUUAGAAGUCCAAGGAAGAGAGAAUGUUAAGAUGUUAAGAUGGAAAGAUGGAAUGUUAAGGUGGUUUGUCAAGUGCAGUUGGAGUCCCUUUUUCUUCUGGGUUUGGUGGCCUGCUGCACCUUUGCCUUUCUCUGACUCUCAUUAAAAUUGUUAAUUAAGGGAGAUUUUAGAGUCCUAGGCUCAAAAUUAAAAUUUGGUUUAUUUUGUAAUACGGCUCCAGAAGCCUUUAAUUCUCUAUUUAAUUUUAUUUCUAAAAGAAAAAGAUUGGGCACUACUGACCUAGAUAAAGACCCAAGAUGAGAGAAGGACCAAUGAGUGUCCCUUAGAUAUUUCUUUUAAAGGUAGCCACUAGGGCCUUAGGGAAAGUACUUUCAGGAACAGACAAAUUGCACCAGUUUGAGAGUGAAUGAAAGGUAACUAUGAAAGAGUGAGUUUAGAUAGCACUUUUAAUAAUUUUGGAUGGAAAGGAAGAAAAAGGUGAUAGCUAGAAGGUAAUACAGGGUGAGGAAGAUGGGGACAUUCUAACUGAAGGAUUCCAGUGUGUUUAUAGAUUGAGGUAAAGAAGGCUGGAGAGAAGAGGGCAUUAAGGCACAGAAGAGAGGAAAUAUAAUGAAGCCAGGUUGUAAAGGAGAUGAAAGAGAAUGUGGUUAAGAUAUUAGGGGAAGGAUUAGAUGCAGGGGAGACAGUGCUUCCUUUGAGAUUCAAAGGAAAGAUGUAGAGAUGAAUGCAAAUUUGCCACUGCCUAUUUCUAAUCGUAAUAGAUUCUGUCAUUUCAGGAUUUAUUUUAAUGUAGUUGGGGACUGGCAGGUAGUUUUUCUCUCCCCUUUGAUAGCCUGGGGCUUCAUUUCUGACUUUUCCUGAUCAAAAAUAAGAACUGAUCUAUCUUCUCAGCUCUUCAGGUGUCAAUUAUACAAUAAGCAAAUUUUUCCAGGCUCCCUGUUAUACACUUGCCACUACACUUCUGACUUAGAUGUGGUACUUUGUUAGUAUCUGUGAGGACUGAAAAUGAGAUCGAAGAGAAAAAUCCAAUCAAGCAUUAAGUAAUCAUAUUUAAAUGGAAAAUGGGAAGAUACUAUUAACGAAUUCAAUGGUACAUCACUCUCUAAACUCUAAAUUUGCUAUUUUAUAAUUAUGAAUUUCUGUGUACUGUACAAUAUUAGCUUCAGUUAAUUUUAAGUGCACCCAUAACAUUAAAUGUGUUUUGAUAUGUGGUUGUUGAAGCUACCUGUUAAAAUUAGUUUGCUGUGAUUUAUUGUUAUUCAUACAAAUGGUUUAUCAAAUGCAAUUGGCUUGGUCCUGAUGACACUCUUCUUGAAUUAUACGAUGUUCUUAUCUCUUGCGGGGCUGUUGAAAUAAUCAAAUCUUUGUACAUGCUGUAGAAGAACCUCUUCUGCAAGACCAUUCAUUCAUGCCUUGAGACAGUAUGAAUCAAGCUGACUUUUUUUUUUUCCAAGGAGUUUUUAAGCUAUAUAUGUGACACCCCGAUGAAUAAGAAGAGCAGCCAGCUGAGAAGGGGAACUCUACAAAGCUAUUUUUUCAACAGCUGUGACUGACCCACUCACCUCACAGGGCUCCAGUGGGCACUAAUGGAAAUGGAGAGAAAGACAAACAAGAUGACCCUGUUAGCUCCCUGUGUACUGCAGAUGUGGUGUAGGCUGUGCUCCGAACUUAGAGAGAAGAAGGAAGAGAGGACAACCCCUCUAUCCCCAAAUUCUCUUCCAAACAGCUAUGCAGAGGAGGAAUGACAAGUAGAAGAGGGGAAAAGGGAAAAUAUAAACAAAAAAAACAGUACAUUUCACACAAAAGCAGAGGAACAGAAAGUGA
rnacentral:lncRNA from 1 species